CGGAGAGCGGUAGCGGGGGAGCGACAGUCUGUAUCUUCCCCUCCAAUCACGUCGCUCCGUCUCCAUCUUUCUCCAUCUUUGCUUCGGCCAAUCGCCGUAGCCAUUGUCCAAAAUUGCCCGGGCGGACCAAUCGCCGCCCGCCGUCUCCAUCUUUGCUCUCGGCCAAUCCCCGCGGCCAUUGUCCAAAAUUGCGAGCCGGACCAAUCGCGGUCCGCCAUUUCCAUCUUUCCGACGGCCAAUCACGACGGCGCAUCUCCAAAAUUCAACCGUCCGGCCUUCACGCAGCCGCAGAAGACCUCUACUGUCAUUUCAAAUUUACCGCCUCGAAUGAUUGGAAAGACGUACAACCUUCAGCUGCCUGUAACUACAAAAGGUAAAUAUGUGGCUAAUAUCAUUGUAUUCCGUCAGCUGUCUAGCUUGCUCGGUGUUAACUUUUCAUUCAUCGCAAAACGUAAACACGCUCCUUUUUAAUGUUGUAUUAAAUAAACUAGCGGGUAGCUAGGCAGAUAUUAAUAAUAUAUUAAAGAGAGAAAUAACUAUUAAAAAAAACGACUUUGACGUCGCAUCGCAUGUGUAGUUCAAACGUGACCGUUGUGCUCCGACAGCAACGUACGUUACUGUAACUCCCGGUAACGUACAGUAACGCUCCAUCACUGUAACGUACUGCUUAUCAGUAUGCCAGUAUGACGUCAGAGUAUGAGAGUAUGUUCUUAUGUACUUUUAGCAUAACAUUAUGAAUGAAAUCUGUAUAGUUUUCACUUCUGUUGUCACAAAAGUCUUGAAUAUGCAGUGUUACCAGUUAAUAAUAAGCUACAGUAACGUUAGGCAGUAAAUCUGUCUGCUGGUAACAUUCACUUCUGUUGUAACCACUGUCUUCAACAUGCCUAGCUGCUACUGGUAGGCUACUAGUUGAUAAUAAGCUAGUAUUCACUUCUGUUGUCAUAAAUAUAUAAUAUGUAGGCUACUGCUGUUAGUUUAUAAUUAGCUGUUUGUUUGUGUGACUGUAUGCAAGUAAGAACCUACGAUGUGCACAAAUAUCUGUGUAUUAGUAAGUUACAAAAGUGUGCACAUUGGUCAUAUUUGUGUCAUGAGCAAAUAUUAGCUGUAUUGGUAUAAAUAUCAUUUUCCUGUUAAUAACAGAUGGGUCCAAACAAAAAAAACAGGGCCGUGGGAGAGGAGGAGGAGAUCAGGCGUUUGGCCUCUGAGGCAGGAAACAGACCAGCACCUCGGCAGAAGAAGUGGCAUGAUCUAUAUCUGAAGCCUUCCAGUUCGCUCCUUGUCUCAGUGCAUCCAGGAACCUCAUGUACAGUGGAACAGCAGCCAGGGCCUUCACCUGGUGAGACGCUACAGCCAGGACUCUACCUGCAGAUUCACCACCACCACCACCACCAAAGGAUGUCUCCUUAGCUAGUGGUGAACCUUGGCAUCAACCUCUGAUGUAUCCAGCCCCAUCACAAGCCCCACAAAAAGAAAAGUGUCACCACCUGGACGCACACUGUUUCUCCUGUGUCUCUUCCUCCUUCUCCUGUUCCUGUAUCAAGCCUCUUCCAUUCUGCCUCCACUGCUACAGCUGUAAGAACAUAUUCUACUACACUUGAAACAGGAGCUGCUCUUGAGUAGAUUGUUAUCAUAUCUAUGUAUUAAACUUAUUAUUUUAAGUAUUUUAUUUUCUUUAUAUUAAGUGUUAUCUGCCACCUCCUCCUGUGUCUCCCCAGGAACCCCCUCUGCUCCUCUCACCUUGCCAUUGCCUAAAAAUGUGGGGAUCGUACCUGUUUCAGAUGCUGCCUGGCUGCCCACAAAGCUGCUAAAGACAUUUCAGCAGCCCUGUGGAAAGACCAGCGUCUUUUCAAAGACCUGAAACUGUGGUAUGAUCCACCAGAGUCCUCCCUCAUAUACCAUUAGGUCCUCACUCCUGAGCGCUUCUUCCACCACUGACUUCUCUUAUGGAAAAAACAUGGUGUGACAUUCUUUGUCAAUAUGUAUAUAAUGUAAAUAGUUUUAAAAGAAAAAAGUCUUAAUUUGCUGCUGUUCUAUUUUGUUUUUUAACUUUAACACACGUGUUUGUGAGUGUGUGUGUGAAAUUUGUAAUAAAUUUGUUACAUUUCAGUGACUGUCUUCAUUUUUUACUGCAAAAAUGCAAACUCACUCAUAGAAAACGAUAACAUUGUUGCAGUACUUCAUUCAGAAAUA